rnacentral:rRNA from 1 species
GCGGCAUCUUACACAUGCAGUCGAACGAGAACGGGAUAUAGCUUGCUAUAUUUGUCAGCUAAGUGGCGCACGGGUGAGUAAUGUAUAGAUAACCUGCCCUCUAGAAAGGAAUAACAGUUGGAAACGACUGCUAAUGCCCUAUAUGCCUUUAAUACAUAAGUAUGCAAGGGAAACGCUUUAGUGCUAGAGGAUGGGUCUGUAUGGUAUCAGCUUGUUGGUGAGGUAAUGACUCACCAAGGCUAUGACGCCUAACUGGUUUGAGAGGAUGAUCAGUCACACUGGAACUGAGACACGGUCCAGACUCCUACGGGAGGCAGCAGUGGGGAAUAUUGCACAAUGGACGAAAGUCUGAUGCAGCAACGCCGCGUGGAGGAUGACACAUUUCGGUGCGUAAACUCCUUUUAUAUAGGAAGAUAAUGACGGUACUAUAUGAAUAAGCACCGGCUAACUCCGUGCCAGCAGCCGCGGUAAUACGGAGGGUGCAAGCGUUACUCGGAAUCACUGGGCGUAAAGAGCGUGUAGGCGGGUAUAUAAGUCAGAAGUGAAAUCCUAUAGCUUAACUAUAGAACUGCUUUUGAAACUGUAUACCUAGAAUGUGGGAGAGGUAGAUGGAAUUUCUGGUGUAGGGGUAAAAUCCGUAGAGAUCAGAAGGAAUACCGAUUGCGAAGGCGAUCUACUGGAACAUUAUUGACGCUGAGACGCGAAAGCGUGGGGAGCAAACAGGAUUAGAUACCCUGGUAGUCCACGCCCUAAACGAUGUACACUAGUUGUUGUGAGGCUCG